rnacentral:rRNA from 1 species
UACGAAGGGUGCAAGCGUUACUCGGAAUUACUGGGCGUAAAGCGUGCGUAGGUGGUUUGUUAAGUCUGAUGUGAAAGCCCUGGGCUCAACCUGGGAAUUGCAUUGGAUACUGGCAGGCUAGAGUGCGGUAGAGGAUGGCGGAAUUCCCGGUGUAGAGGUGAAAUGCGCAGAUAUCAGGAGGAACACCGAUGGCGAAGGCAGCUCGCUGGGACGGUACUGACGCUGAGGCGCGAAAGCGUGGGGAGCAAACAGG